rnacentral:rRNA from 1 species
UACGGGGGGGGGCAAGCGUUGUUCGGAAUUACUGGGCGUAAAGGGCUCGUAGGCGGCCAACUAAGUCGGACGUGAAAUCCCCAGGCUACUACGUGGAACUGCGUCCGAUACUGGAUGGCUUGAAUCCGGGAGAGGGAUGCAGAAUUCCAGGUGUAGCGGUGAAAUGCGUAGAUAUCUGGAGGAAUACCGGUGGCGAAGGCGGCAUCCUGGAC